UACAGAGGUCUCAAGCGUUGUUCGGAUUCAUUGGGCGUAAAGGGUGCGUAGGCGGCGCGGUAAGUCGGGUGUGAAAUCUCGGAGCUCAACUCCGAAAUUGCACUGGAUACUGCUCUGCUUGAGGGUUGGAGAGGAGAUCGGAAUUCACGGUGUAGCAGUGAAAUGCGUAGAUAUCGUGAGGAAGACCAGUGGCGAAGGCGGAUCUCUGGACGAAUCCUGACGCUGAGGCGCGAAGGCUAGGGGAGCAAACGGG
rnacentral:rRNA from 1 species